rnacentral:rRNA from 1 species
GACGAACGCUGGCGGCGCGCCUAACACAUGCAAGUCGAACGGAGUUUGAGAGAGCUUGCUUUUUCAAACUUAGUGGCGAACGGGUGAGUAACGCGUGAGUAACCUGCCCUGGAGUGGGGGACAACAGUUGGAAACGACUGCUAAUACCGCAUAUGCUUACACUAUCACAUGAUAGAGUGAGGAAAGGAGUAAUCCACUAGUAGAUGGGCUCGCGUCUGAUUAGCUAGUUGGUGGGGUAAUGGCCUACCAAGGCGACGAUCAGUAGCCGGACUGAGAGGUUGAACGGCCACAUUGGGACUGAGAUACGGCCCAG